rnacentral:tRNA from 1 species
AAUAAUUCAAAAUAUUUAUUAUUCCUACUUUUAAGUCUUAAUUAAAUAUUAAUUUUACCUUUAUUUAU